rnacentral:rRNA from 1 species
ACGUAGGGGGCAAGCGUUGUCCGGAUUUAUUGGGCGUAAAGAGCUCGUAGGCGGUUCCGUAAGUCGAGUGUGAAAAAUCUGGGCUCAACCCAGUGGAGCACUCGAUACUGCGGUGACUAGAGUACGGUAGAGGAGUGUGGAAUUCCUGGUGUAGCGGUGAAAUGCGCAGAUAUCAGGAGGAACACCAACGGCGAAGGCAGCACUCUGGGCCGGUACUGACACUGAGGCACGAAAGCGUGGGGAGCAAACAGGA